rnacentral:rRNA from 1 species
UACGGAGGGUGCAAGCGUUAAUCGGAAUUACUGGGCGUAAAGCGUGCGUAGGCGGUUCGUUAAGUCUGGUGUGAAAUCCUGCGGCUCAACCUGGGAAUGGCAAUGGAUACUGGCGAGCUAGAGUGUGUCAGAGGAUGGUGGAAUUCCCGGUGUAGCGGUGAAAUGCGUAGAGAUCGGGAGGAACAUCAGUGGCGAAGGCGGCCAUCUGGGACAACACUGACGCUGAGGCACGAAAGCGUGGGGAGCAAACAGGG